GGAGAAGAGUGAUAGUUCUUCGUGAGAAGGUUGUGAGAAGGGAUGGUCGCCAUUGUUGAGAAGCUUGAAAGCUUCGUUUCCAAAUGGUAUAGGGCCACCAGGCUUCUUAUAUAGAGGCCAUACGCAUCAAUGGGAGUUAUGAAGUGGCGUAGGAGUUAUGAAGUGGCAUAAUAAUGAUUAAAGAGCAAUGAGCAGGCAUUGCGAUAGGAUUCAGGUUGUAAAAUAAUUUUGACUUUGCGAGGGUAGAUUUACUUCACAAACUAUUGUUUGAAACUUUCAUGUCUCAACAACAAAAAAUGUAUUCUCACGUGAAACACGAGAUAAUAAGUUCAUAGUGGUGAUUUGAAGAAUGAUUUCAAAUAUUGUAGGUGGACACUGCACAGCUGGUUAGCUUGGUGGGUGGGGGGGACGUGGCUUAAUCUACUAGGUACUACCAUUAAGUAGUCUGCUUUGUUUUAAGAUUUGGAACACUGUCCAAGAAUUACUUGAGAAAACUAGGGUUAACGCCCAUCGGUAA